ACUCAAAGGAAUUGACGGGGGCUCGCACAAGCGGUGGAGGAUGUUGUUUAAUUCGAUGCAACGCGCAGAACCUUACCAGGGCUUGACAUGCUGGAAUUAGUUCCCUGAAAGGGGGAUGACGCCCGAAAGGGUGGAGCCAGCACAGGUGUUGCACGGCUGUCGUCAGCUCGUGUCGUGAGAUGUCGGGUUAAGUCCCUUAACGAGCGAAACCCUUGUCCCUAGUUGCUACCGGGUAAGCCGAGCACUUUAGGGAGACUGCCGCUGUAAAGCGGAGGAAGGUGGGGAUGACGUCAAGUCAUCGUGGCCCUUAUGCCCUGGGCUACAAACGUCCUACAAUGGCCGGUACAGAGGGAAGCGAGGCCGCAAGGCGGAGCAAAUCCCAAAAAGCCGGUCCCAGUUCGGAUUGCAGGCUGCAACUCGUCUGCAUGAAGCUGGAAUCGCUAGUAAUCGCAGAUCAGCCACGCUGCGGUGAAUAUGUUCCCGAGCCUUGCACACACCGCCCGU
rnacentral:rRNA from 1 species